rnacentral:rRNA from 1 species
AUGGGGUGCAAGUCGUGCCAGAAGCCCAAGGCGCAGCACCGCAAGGGGCUGUGGUCGCCGGAGGAGGACCAGAAGCUCCGCGACUACAUCGUCCGCUACGGCCACAGCUGCUGGAGCACCGUCCCCGUCAAGGCCGGGCUUCAGAGGAACGGGAAGAGCUGCAGGCUGCGAUGGAUCAACUACCUGAGGCCGGGGCUGAAGCACGGCAUGUUCUCCCGGGAGGAAGAGGAGACCGUCAUGAGCCUCCAUGCCACACUCGGCAACAAGUGGUCUCAGAUAGCGCAGCACCUGCCGGGCCGGACGGACAACGAGGUGAAGAACUACUGGAACUCGUACCUGAAGAAGCGCGUCGAGGGCGCGCGGGCACCAGCCAAGUCCGCCGGCUCCGACGCGCCCCGGAGCCCGAUGCCCAGCGACAGCGGCCGCGAACGCAGCACCGUUAACCAGCCGUCCAACUCCGGCUCGUCGGGCCCGCCUGAGUCCUCGUCGACGGCCGACGACUCGAGCAGCCUCACCGGGCCCGACGCGGCGGCCGCCUUGAUCCGGCCGCACGCGCCGGUGCUCCCCAAGGUCAUGUUCGCGGACUGGCUCGACAUGGACAUGGACUACGGCACCGGCCUGAUGGCUCCGAGAACCCUGGACGCCGCCUUCGACUGCAGCCCGGCGCAGCAGGGCGCGAGCAGCACGGUGGACGGUCGUUGCGGCGCCGUGGACUCGUUGCACGGGCUCGGCGACGGCGGCAUCUGCUGGGAGUUCGAGGCGGACAUGCAGGGCGGAGGAGCAGGGUUCUGCGACCUGCUCUCCAUGAGCGAGUUCCUCGGGAUCAACUAG